rnacentral:rRNA from 1 species
UACGUAGGGUGCGAGCGUUGUCCGGAAUUAUUGGGCGUAAAGAGCUCGUAGGCUGUGUGUCACGUCGGCCGUGAAAACCUGCAGCUUAACUGUGGGCGUGCGGUCGAUACGGGCAUCACUGGAGUUCGGCAGGGGAGACUGGAAUUCCUGGUGUAGCGGUGAAAUGCGCAGAUAUCAGGAGGAACACCGGUGGCGAAGGCGGGUCUCUGGGCCGAUACUGACGCUGAGGAGCGAAAGCGUGGGGAGCGAACAGG